CUCCAUGUUUCUUACUUCCCUAACCCGGUAGACGUCCACAAUUAAGACAGAUUCUUAUUCAGUCUAACAAGAAGAUCAGAAGCAAUUCAGGGUCAGCAGACUCACUUUUAUGCCUUUAAUAUUUUGUAUUUUGCCAAUAUUUCAAGGUACUUUGAAGGUCCCCUGCUUUCUCAUGAGGGCUGGGCACGAAUGUUCAGGAGCGAUCAUUGUAAUGAUAUCUCUCUGAUUAAAAAGAUAGCUAGUGAAAUUGAGAUAGAACAUCAAAUUCAGAAACAUCAUUAGCAGGAUUCUAUUUUGGCUGGGUCUAAUCUUCUGCGGGGUCACCAUGUUGCCUUCAAUGAGUCUGACCAUUUUAUAUCAUUUAGAUUGAAACAGACCCAUCAUGUCACAGGCAAAUGCCUUUAUCAUAUUUAAUUAACCCAACACCAUGUAAUAAUCUCCCUGGUAAUUAUCCCUUGCCAGCACUUGAAAGCAUGAAGGAACAAAUAAAUCCUCCCAGCUGCAGGUAUAUGUAAGCUGUAACUUGGUGUCAUGGCA
rnacentral:lncRNA from 1 species